rnacentral:rRNA from 1 species
CGGACGAUAGUAGGUAGGUUACAAUAUAUCGCUAGCUCCGUGGUGCAUGCAUGAAUGUAGCAAUACAUUUGAUGGCGACCGGCAAACGGGUGCGGAACACGUACACAACCUUCCUAUAAGUGGGGAAUAGCCCAGAGAAAUUUGGAUUAAUACCCCGUAACAUAACGAUGUGGCAUCACAUUGUUAUUAUAGCUUCGGCGCUUAUUGAUGGGUGUGCGGCUGAUUAGAUAGUUGGCGGGGUAACGGCCCACCAAGUCUACGAUCAGUAGCUGAUGUGAGAGCAUGAUCAGCCACACGGGCACUGAGACACGGGCCCGACUCCUACGGGAGGCAGCAGUAAGGAAUAUUGGUCAAUGGACGCAAGUCUGAACCAGCCAUGCCGCGUGAAGGAUUAAGGUCCUCUGGAUUGUAAACUUCUUUUAUCUGGGACGAAAAAAGGCGAUUCUUCGUCACUUGACGGUACCAGAUGAAUAAGCACCGGCUAACUCCGUGCCAGCAGCCGCGGUAAUACGGAGGGUGCAAGCGUUAUCCGGAUUCACUGGGUUUAAAGGUGCGUAGGCGGGCAGGUAAGUCAGUGGUGAAAUCCUGGAGCUUAACUCCAGAACUGCCAUUGAUACUAUCUGUCUUGAAUAUUGUGGAGGUAAGCGGAAUAUGUCAUGUAGCGGUGAAAUGCUUAGAUAUGACAUAGAACACCUAUUGCGAAGGCAGCUUACUACGCAUAUAUUGACGCUGAGGCACGAAAGCGUGGGGGAUCAAAACAGGAUUAGAUACCCUGUAAUCCACGCCCCAAACGAUGGAUACUCGACAUACG